AGGGUUGGCCACCUUGAGAAGCUGCGAAGAUGGCGGAGUAAGGCGUGCCGCUGCAAACUGGCCUCUGGGCCGGGGGCGAGCAGCCCCCGGGAGGCCGAGUGCAUCUGUUGGACCGUGCGAGGAGAAGAAAAAAAAUAUCGGCCAGAGGAGAGGAACUAACCGAACAUUCUUCCUCCCUACCUUAUAGAGGGGAGUGGUCAUCUACACUAAAGCAAAGUGUUAGGCGCGUCCGUGCGAAGAGACCACCAAACAGGCUUUGUGUUCCUUAUCACAGGAAGAAAAUUUUCCUUGACCUUUAGGUGCUUUUAUAUUCAUCUCAAAAACAAAAUUCUGAACUCAGGACUUGGCAAACGGAGUUUCACUCUGUUGCUCAGGCCAGAGUGCAGUGGCACAAUCUCAGAUCACUGCAACCUCUGCCUCCCGGGUUCAAGCAAUUCUCCUGCCUCAGCCUCCCGAGUAGCUGGAAUUACAGGGUCUCACUGUCGCCCAGGCUGGAGUGUAGUGGCACAGUUUCAGCUCACUACAACUUCACCUCCUGGGCUCAAGCGAUUCUCCCACUUCAGCCUCCUGGGUAGUCGGGACUACAGGCACAUGCCACCGCACUUGCUAAUUUUUUCAGUUUUUGUAGAGACAGAAUGUCAGUAUAUUGCCAGGCUAGUCUCGAACUCGUGAGCUCA
rnacentral:lncRNA from 1 species